rnacentral:lncRNA from 1 species
GGAUCUUGGAUCGAAGGGAAAAGGUUUUGCGAAAAAGGACGGUUCAGCUGGUACGUGAGCUGUGGAGGCAUCACGCGGAGAAUGAGGCGACGUGGGAGCCAGAAGAGGGGAUACGUAGCAAGUAUCCUCAGCUCUUUCCAGAUUCUGUUAAGUAAAUUUCGGGGACGAAAUUUUUUUUAAGGGGGGUAAGAUGUAAUACCUGUAUCUAAUUAAUUUAAAUUAGAAUUUAAAUAUGUGGCCAUGAUUGUAGUUUGUGAUAAACCCGUUAUUAAAUAUUUUUGAUUUAUUUGUGCUGUCGGAUUAAGCUGAUUCGGUUGGAUUUAAUUUUCGGAUUAAUUAUACUCUAAUACUGGUUAGAGUAGGAUUGAGAUUU